rnacentral:rRNA from 1 species
AAUAGAUACCCUGGUAGUCCACGCCGUAAACGUUGGAUACUAGGUGUGGCGGUUAUACCAAUGACUGCCGUGCCGAAGCUAACGCAUUAAGUAUCCCGCCUGGGGAGUACGGCCGCAAGGCUAAAACUCAAAGGAAUUGACGGGUCCCCGCACAAGCGGCGGAGCAUGCGGCUUAAUUCGAUGCAACCCGAAGAACCUUACCUGGGUUUGACAUCACGGGAAAAGCUGUAGAAAUACAGUGUCCAUUAGGGCCCGUGACAGGUGGUGCAUGGCUGUCGUCAGCUCGUGUCGUGAGAUGUUGGGUUAAGUCCCGCAACGAGCGCAACCCUUGUCCUAUGUUGCCAGCGGUUCGGCCGGGGACUCAUAGGAGACUGCCGGGGAUAACUCGGAGGAAGGUGAGGACGACGUCAAGUCAUCAUGCCCCUUAUAUCCAGGGCUGCACGCAUGCUACAAUGGCCGGUACAACGGGCAGCGACCCCGCGAGGGUGAGCGAAUCCUAAAAAGCCGGUCCUAGUUCGGAUUGAAGUCUGCAACUCGA